UGGGGAAUUGUUCACAAUGGGCGCAAGCCUGAUGACGCAACGCCGCGUGGGGGAUGAAGGCCUUCGGGUCGUAAACCCCUGUCGAAUGGGACGAAUAGCCCGCGAUUUAACAAAACGCGGGAAUGACGGUACCGUUCAAGGAAGCCACGGCUCACUCUGUGCCAGCAGCCGCGGUAAUACAGCGGUGGCAAGCGUUGUUCGGAAUUACUGGGCGUAAAGGGCGCGUAGGCGGCCUUCUAAGUCAGACGUGAAAUCCCCCGGCUUAACCUGGGAACUGCAUUUGUGACUGCACAGCUGGAGUGCGGCAGAGGGGGAUGGAAUUCCGCGUGUAGCAGUGAAAUGCGUAGAUAUGCGGAGGAACACCGAUGGCGAAGGCAAUCCCCUGGGCCUGCACUGACGCUCAUGCACGAAAGCGUGGGGAGCAAA
rnacentral:rRNA from 1 species